rnacentral:rRNA from 1 species
GUGUCAGCCGCCGCGGUAAUACGGAGGGUGCAAGCGUUAUCCGGAUUCACUGGGUUUAAAGGGAGCGCAGGCGGACUUGUAAGUCAGUGGUGAAAUACCUGAGCUUAACUCGGGAACUGCCAUUGAUACUAUAGGUCUUGAAUGUUGUUGAGGUUUGCGGAAUGGGUCAUGUAGCGGUGAAAUGCAUAGAUAUGACCCGGAACACCUAUUGCGAAGGCAGCAGGCUAAACAAAUAUUGACGCUGAGGCUCGAAAGCGUGGGGAUCAAACAGGAUUAGAAACCCUGGUAGUCC